CCAGGUCGAAAACAAUUUCUCUGGUUUCUUACCUUCUGGUAAGGAGACAUAGGAGUAAAUCUGCAUAAGCCCGGUGGCAAAUUCCCAGACAUGGAUGCAUGUGCGAAGGACUUUCGCGUCGUACUCCUGAACAACACAAAGCUCUGGAAUAUCAUAUAAUCUGAUACACUGUGUAGGCCACAACGGAAGCGACUGCACACACUUCCAUUGAGUCACAUGAUGGUACAACGUCGACUGCACACCAACCUUCGCAGCGCAGCGAAACGGCAUCAUGAAGGCGCUGACCCGCGCGUCAGUGGGAAGAACGGGCAGCGCCACACCUUCAGGACAAGAGUUCAGCGCCGCCUGCCAGCGCUGACCUAGCAAGCCGCCCAUCGCUGUUCGGCCCCAGUUCGGUCGUAGAUUUCGAGAGCAUCAGUACUGAGUAAUAGAAAGGUCCUUAGCCUGCGUUCUGCGAAUAGUUAUUCUGUAUAAAAGUGCUUGCAUGUAGGAACCACAGGAAGCCACCUAGAAAUUAUGUUAUGUUUCAUUCCUUGUUAGAAAU